GGCGCCCGGGCGACCGCGGCGAUGCGCGGUCCCUGGCCCCGGGAGGCGGCCACCCUGGGGCCGUCGGGAUGGAGGUGAGAAGACGGCCGUGACGCGCGCCCGCGCGGCCCCCUGCACCCCCAGCAGCCCACAGCGCUCCCUGCCCCCCUCCCCCGCGGCGGCUGGCCUUGCCCUCCAGUGACAGCGGCCUGGGGGGGCAGGGGGGGCGGGGGCGGCCGGACCAGCGAUGCCGGCGGGCAUGACGAAGCAUGGCUCACGCUCCACCAGCUCGCUGCCACCGGAGCCCAUGGAGAUCGUGCGCAGCAAGGCGUGCUCGAGGCGCGUCCGCCUCAACGUUGGUGGGCUGGCGCACGAGGUGCUCUGGCGCACCCUGGACCGCCUGCCCCGCACGCGGCUGGGCAAGCUGCGUGACUGCAACACGCACGACUCGCUGCUGGAGGUGUGCGAUGACUACAGCCUCGACGACAAUGAGUACUUCUUCGACCGCCACCCGGGCGCCUUCACCUCCAUCCUCAACUUCUACCGCACCGGACGGCUGCACAUGAUGGAGGAGAUGUGCGCGCUCAGCUUCAGCCAAGAGCUCGACUACUGGGGCAUCGACGAAAUCUACCUGGAGUCCUGCUGCCAGGCCCGCUACCACCAGAAGAAGGAGCAGAUGAAUGAGGAGCUCAAGCGCGAGGCAGAAACCCUACGGGAGCGGGAGGGCGAGGAGUUCGAUAACACGUGCUGCGCCGAGAAGAGGAAAAAGCUCUGGGACUUACUGGAGAAGCCCAAUUCCUCUGUGGCCGCCAAGAUCCUUGCCAUAAUUUCCAUCAUGUUCAUCGUCCUCUCCACCAUUGCCCUGUCUCUCAACACACUGCCGGAGCUGCAGAGCCUUGAUGAGUUUGGCCAGACCACAGACAACCCCCAGCUGGCCCACGUGGAGGCCGUGUGCAUUGCAUGGUUCACCAUGGAGUACCUGCUGCGGUUCCUCUCCUCCCCUAAAAAGUGGAAGUUCUUCAAGGGCCCGCUCAACGCCAUUGACUUGUUGGCCAUCCUGCCAUAUUAUGUCACCAUCUUCCUCACUGAAUCCAACAAGAGCGUGCUGCAGUUCCAGAAUGUCCGCCGCGUGGUCCAGAUCUUCCGCAUCAUGCGUAUUCUCCGCAUUCUUAAGCUCGCACGUCACUCCACUGGCCUCCAGUCCUUGGGCUUCACUCUGCGGAGGAGCUACAAUGAGCUGGGCUUGCUCAUCCUCUUCCUUGCCAUGGGCAUCAUGAUCUUCUCCAGCCUUGUCUUCUUUGCCGAGAAGGAUGAGGAUGACACCAAGUUCAAAAGCAUCCCAGCCUCUUUCUGGUGGGCCACCAUCACCAUGACGACCGUUGGGUAUGGAGACAUCUACCCCAAGACUCUCCUGGGGAAAAUUGUGGGGGGUCUUUGCUGCAUUGCAGGGGUCCUGGUGAUUGCUCUUCCCAUCCCCAUCAUUGUCAAUAACUUCUCUGAGUUCUACAAGGAGCAGAAGAGGCAGGAGAAAGCAAUCAAGCGGAGAGAGGCUCUGGAGAGAGCCAAGAGAAAUGGCAGCAUCGUAUCCAUGAACAUGAAGGAUGCAUUCCCCCGGAGCAUCGAGGUGAUGGACAUUGUGGUUGAGAAAAGUGGAGAGAACAUGGGUCAGAAAGACAAAGUGCAAGAUAAUCACUUGUCUCCCAACAAAUGGAAAUGGACAAAGAGGACACUGUCCGAAACCAGCUCAAGUAAGUCCUUUGAAACCAAGGAGCAGGGAUCCCCUGAGAAGGCCAGAUCAUCUUCUAGUCCUCAGCACCUGAACGUCCAGCAGUUGGAAGACAUGUACAAUAAGAUGGCCAAGACACAGUCUCAACCCAUCCUCAAUACUAAGGAGCCAGCAACACAGAGCAAACCAAAGGAAGAACUUGAAAUGGAGAGUAUCCCCAGCCCCGUAGCCCCUCUGCCCACUCGUACAGAAGGGGUCAUUGACAUGCGAAGCAUGUCAAGCAUUGAUAGCUUCAUUAGCUGUGCCACAGACUUCCCUGAAGCCACCAGAUUCUCCCACAGCCCUUUGGCAUCACUCCCCAGCAAAACCGGAGGUGGCAUGGCCCCAGAGGUUGGCUGGCAGGGAGCUCUGGGUGCCACUGGUGGUAGGUUUGUGGAGACCAACCCCCCCGCUGAUGCCAGCCAUCCCUCUGCUUUCUUCAUUGAGAGCCCAAAGAGUUCCAUGAAGACCACCAACCCCUUGAAGCUUCGAGCACUUAAGGUCAACUUCAUGGAGGGGGAUCCCAGACCAUUAGUCCCCGUUCUAGGGAUGUACCAUGACCCUCUUAGGAACCGGGGGGGUGCUGCGGCAGCCGUUGCUGGGCUGGAGUGUGCCACACUCUUGGACAGGCCUGUGCUGAGUCCAGAGUCCUCCAUCUACACCACAGCAAGUGCUAGGACACCCCCCCGGUCGCCAGAGAAACACACAGCAAUAGCGUUCAACUUUGAAGCAGGUAUCCACCAGUACAUUGAUGCGGACACAGAUGAUGAGGGGCAAGUGCUCUACAGUGUGGACUCCAGCCCUCCCAAGAGCCUCCACGGGAACACUAGUCCCAAGUUCAGCGUCGGGACAAGAUCAGAGAAGAACCACUUUGAAAGCUCCCCCUUACCCACCUCCCCUAAGUUCUUAAGGCAGAACUGUAUUUACUCUACAGAAGCAUUGACUGGAAAAACUCCCAGUGGUCAGGAAAAGUGCAAGCUUGAGAACCACAUCUCCCCCGACGUCCGCGUGUUGCCGGGGGGAGGAGCCCAUGGAAGCACACGGGAUCAGAGCAUCUGAACCACCUCCACACGGAGGAGAGACUUGUGGCAGGGUCCAAAGAGGAGUGCUGUUCAGCUUACCUGCCGUGGAGCUUUUCUGCAUGACCUCUGAAACAGAAAGGCUUUGUAAAGCCCCCAGAAAGAAGAGAGACCAGAGAAAUCUCCCUUAAAACCUUGAGAGCCGUUAACGGGUCCAUCAGAGUGAAGUUGGCCAAGCCACAGGGUAUGGCGCCUCCUUGUAACAGCUCCACGGCCCUCUUUGGAAGAUGACAAGAGCAGAACUCACAGCCACCACUACCACGUUCUAGACAUAACCAAGGCCACCUACUCCCCAUUCUUCUCUCGUGGCUUUCCAUCACAGCCUCUGAGGGCAAGAUCGCCAUCCCUCCUGGCUUCAGCUGGAGAAGGAUGCCGGAACAAGUGGCUGGUGUUAAAAGAGUGGGUUGACCAAUUUGGUUUUGGGUGUUGCCUGGCCACCUCUAGGAACUUCUGUCCAUCACCUGCUGGAUGGAUCCCACUGUUAGAAGGCUACAGGGAAUGCUUGUGUCAUGGGGAAAACUGCACCAUAAGCCACGAUCCCAGCGCAAAACCCUUCCUCAAAUGUCUUCAUUGACUUCAGUAUUCCGUAGUACCUGAGAUUUUAUUUUGAGAUAUCAUCAGGGUUCUACCAGGGACAGUGUCAACAUCUUGCACUUUAAAACAAGCAUGAUUUCCCGUGGGCCACUUGUUGGGACUACAGUUGGGUUUUUGCUCCAGGCAUGUGUCUGGCCACGUCUCAAGUAACACGACCCCGGGCUUCAGCCUCCAGUCAAGUAACUUUGAAUCCAAUGUGGUGAGAAGCCUCUAGCAUGUGAUCCUUUGAGAAAGGACUUUUUCUACUGCUGCGAAGUUGGCAGGCGUUAAAAGGGGGCUUCCCCUGACUCCCCCAGCAGGACAGUGGAGAACCUGCAGCCCUGAGCUAAAAUUUCCUCGCCUCCCACUGCUUAUAUGACAGCAUCCAAAUGCUUUCACUCAACCCAGGGCGACUCAAACCAGCCCUGGCUACACCCAGAAAUAAGAGUUACCUCUGCAUUUUCUGUCGCCAUUUUUCUGGCUCUAGAAGUAUCUGAUGCGUGACUACAUCAUAGGAUGUCCACGCAUCUCAGAGUAGUCUAUUUUUCUGUUCGGAUAAAAUAUAUAUAUAUGUAUUUUUAGCAAAUUUAUAAUUGGGCCAUUGAGUCUAAUUUCUUCUUUUGUAAUACGGAAUAACAUCUUAGGGGUUUUAUUGUUGGUCAUAAUCGCAGCUGAUAUCUUCUGGUCUCCUUCAUUUCCUCCUGUUGCUCCUUGGAUCGUUUUUUUUCUUCUUCUUUUCGUUUCUGAUUUCCUGGAGGUGGGGAAAGACUUUGGGGUCUGACUUCCUCAUGCAGGCAUUUCCUGACACAAGGCCUAGAAUCUGUUGACCUGUUACUUUCCUCAUUCUGUCUGUUCUAUUUAUUGUUCUUAAAACUCCAGAACACAGAUGCAGGAGUGAAACCAGGGGAAGCAGGGCUACAGAUGGCCCUUAAAAUCAGGAUGGGAUGUGGGAUGGUUUAGCUCAUCCUCCACGCCGUUCCGGGGAUCUAAAGGGACUGAGUUUGUUCAUUUCCAGAGAUCUUGGAAUCUAAAAUCUCGUGCGAGAAAACCUCCCUCUGACAUUCCUGAGAUUCAGAAGACGCCUAAACCCCUCUUGGCUGGCCUGUUGCCACGCCCAGCGCCCUGCUCUCCUGUGACAUCAAUUGGAUCUGAAGGUCAGGGCACUUUCAGGUUCUUGCGAAACUUAGAGAAAAUCCUGGGCCUCAGAUCUCAUCAACUUUUUAUCAGCUCUUCAUUUCAAUCCAUUUCCAACAGGCUUACCAAAAAACAGUGGCCAGACAAGCUUGCAGCCAAAUCCUGAGAAGAUGCGUCCCCAGAAUCUGCCAUCUCAUCUCCCCUUCCCUUUCCAGUUGCCUGGCUCCAUAGAGCCAGACAUUCGUGGCAAGGGCAGUGGUAUUUUUCCAGCUUCCUCCUAUCCAGGCCUCGGGGAGUGUCUGGACUAUCUUGAUAAUUAAUUCCACCAGGCAGUUUCCAGGCCUCGGGUAGGCAGAGGACAUCUCACGAAGCAGGAUCUUCAGCAGGAAAUGAUUCUCCAUCCAUCAGCUCAUGCAGGAAGAUGACGUAAGCCCAGAUCAUCUCCAUCUUGCAUCUAUAGAUUUUCAUAUCCCACCUGCCUCUCCCACAGCUACAGGGCUCUGGCCUCUGCCCAGGUCAGAGAUCUGAACCAAAUCAGGACCCCCAGAUGGCAGUGAGCCAUCCCUGUUGGGUCAACCCCAAGAGGAAACCAUCCGAAGUACAAAUUCUGGACUGAGAUUCUAAUCAGCGUUUUCCCACCGCCCCCAAAUUCCUGGUAAUCUGGUUUGAACCAGAGCCAACUAAAACAGACAAGAUUUUUUUAAACUACUGCACAAGAAGAACAACAACAACAAAAUUGUCUCCCAGUCAUUUGCUAGGUUUGAUGCCCAGAUAAGCAAACACCCUUGCCCAUGGCCGUUUUCAUCUAGAAGUUGUGUAGUCUGGGUUUCCAUCCACUGACCUUGAUAUUGGCUUAACCUGGAAUUUCUCCUGAACUCCCCAAAAUGACGUCUUGAAGACAUGGAUUUGGAAGGGACUCUGUUAAUCGAGUGACCCCUCAUCUUCACUGCUAACUCACUCUCCAUUCCUUCUUGCAAAGAUCCUGGAAAGAUCUAAAGGUUGGCGGGGAAAGGGAUGCAGUUCACCUGAGGGAGAGCCCACCUGCCCACAUUAUGUCUGCAUGCCAGUCUCUGAAAGUUUCUCCUGCAUGAAAGGGACAGGGCAGUCAAUUUCGGCUCAAAUUAAGGAAGCACUUCUAAUAGGUGGGCCUGCCUCACCAUGGAACUCGAUGCCAUGUUGGGUAAUGAGCUCUCUGACAGCACAGGUGUUUAAAGACAGGCUAGUUGAUGUACAAAACGGAUGUUGCUGAGGGAAGCUAGCACUGCAUGCUGACCAAACUGAACGUCUGGAGAAGUUCUCUCUCCAGCACCUCCGCCCCACCCACUUCCAAUGUAUGCAUGUGUGCGGGUGUGUGGUUUGAACAUCUGAGCACAGGCUCAAGCAACUGGGGCACAGGCAGAGAGCACAGUUAGCAGAAACUCAGAUUCUAGAAUGUGGAGCUUUCUGGGGGAAUGUCAGGGAGGGAAGUGGCAGCAGGAUACCCUGAUCCUCUGUGCUCCCCAUCUUGGACACUUUUAGUGACUCUGUUGGUCGCUUAUCCACCCCAGUUCCCUGACAGGGACCACAUGUGUGGGAUGAGGCUCGAGCUCCCCUCCCCCAGGCCAGCCAAGGAGCAGCCCCCCUGUUUGGGCGGCCUUCUCACGGUGCUUCAGCCCUUCUGCCCAGGCCCUGGGCCCUCGUAGGCCUCAGGCUUUCUGUACAUGAGAUACAAUUUUCCUUUACCCACUCGCCGGCUGCCUAAUGAACAAACUGGCCAGGCAAUAACACAUGGUACCAUCCCUAAAGGGCUUUUUUUUUUUUUUUUGGCAAAUUAAACAGGAAAUCCCAUUCAAGACCCUUGAGAGUCCCCACCCAAUGAAGUAAGUCCAGAAGGGCCAAAAGAAAGAGACAGCCGCAAUCUAGUUUGACAACUAAACGAGGCUUCGGCUACCUGCAGGUUGAAUGCUCGCUCUUCCCACCUCUGUAGCCCCUUCCCAAGUGAGUCUGGAUACCGCAUGCUCCAAGGACAGCAUGUGACGAAAGAGGUUUUAAAGUUCCAGCUAACUGUGUAUGGUGGGCUUGGAGGAAGUGAGGCUUCAUCCUCAGGGUGACCCCAAGUCCAGGAAGUCUCAGGUUGCUUCAUUAUAGGAUGAGGCAAAGCCAUAGGUUUUGAUGGAUAGUCUGAGCAGCUGCCUUCCUCCCAAAAUUAAACAAAAACCCAGUUUCCGAUAUCCCCCUCUGAGGCUCUGCCCUACAGAAAUAGCUCAAGUUGCUGGCUGCAAUGAGAUGACGAUUCUGGAAAAUGAAGAAAACUCCCAAUUCUGUCCCAUUAGGAUGCUCUCCAGAGUCCUGCGUGGAUUGUUGCAUACUUCCUGCCUCCCUAAACUAAUCCAGGUUUGGAAAACAAGGAGGGAAGCGCAGAAGAAGAUGCCCAUGAGGGGCUUCCCUGGUGGCGCAGUGGUUAAGAAUCUGCCUGCCGAUGCAGGGGCCACGGGUUCAAGCCCUGGUCCAGGAAGAUCCCACAUGUCACGGAGCAACUAAGUGUGCCAUGUGCCACAACUACUAAGCCUGCGCUCUAGAGCCUGUGAGCCACAACUACUGAGCCUGCAUGCCACGACUACUGAAGCCCCUGUGCCUAGAGCCCACGCUCCGCAACAAGAGAAGCCACCUCAAUGAGAAGCCCGCGCACCGCAGUGAAGAGUAGCCCCCGCUCGCCUCAACUAGAGAAAGCCCACGCGCAGCAAUGAAGACCCAACGCAGCUAAAAAAUAAAUAAAUAAAUAAAUAAAAUAAAUAAAUUAAAAAAAAAAGAAGAUGCCCCUGAGAUCUGGACUUCUCCACAGCGGGGCUCAGGCUCCCUGGUCUUCACCAGGGCUUUGGGGUCUCUCUCUGAUGAGCUUGACAUCUGAGCUCCGGAUGCCUGCAGGGUGGAGAAGAGGACAAUCAGGAGCUGCUGGGCUGUGCAGCUGUGGCCCCUUUGCCCUCCAGGCCUGUCCUGGCUUCAAUCCAAGGUCAAGGAACUCAGGGUUAUUUCCCAACAUAUGACUCUGGCACAUAGUGGUCACCCAACCCGUGUUUGGCUUUUUUUUUGAGUGGUUGUGUAAAUGAGUGACUUCUGAGUGAAUGAAUGAAUGAGUGAAUGUGUGAGUGGAGAGAGGCGUUCAUUCGUUCUCACCUGGUUUGAGGUUUUCCUAACUGGGAAGGAAGGAGAAAUGGGAGGUUCCUCCCACUGAAGCCCGGAAGCCCCAUCAGUGUCAUCUGUUCUUUGACUCAAUUGGUGGUCAAGAUGACGGUCAAAUUUUCUGCCCUAAGGGUCUUCUCAGAGCUACACUUCCAGGGGGCUACGGGGACAUCCCCAGCCUCUUUUUGACCCUCCUAUCCUGCAUUUUCAGCCUCGCGCUCUAGUUUAGCUCACACUAGCCCACGGGGGACUACAAGGUGGUUUUCCAAUAGGCUAGGCCAAGGGUCCAAGGUAACAGUUCCCCCUGGUCUGGGACUUGCUGGGGGCAGGGAUGUGGGAGCUGAUAUCUGGAAACUGGAUCGCAUUCCCUGAGCCGUGGGAGCUGAGCUGGAAAACAGGGCCACCCUGUCCUCCAGCUUUGAGAACCAAUGGUCUUCCUUUUUUCUGAGCCCAACGCCCCCCCAUGGUAGCAUGCUCCCUGGUCCCAUCAGCUAAGACCCUCUGUCUCUCCCAGGAACCAUGGUGUGAGGUUGAGGCUUUUCUGCCAGCAAAGCCAUUCUGAUCGCCCCACCCAUAAUGGGGGCCAAUCACAUUAGCCAUAAAUGACCAAUGUCCUUAGCCACUCUUUUCUCGGGGUCACGUUCAUGGGUUCUGUUCAUCUCUGGUCAGUUGAUGUCUCUAGUCCUUCCUGUAAAGGUGAAGAUGAGCAUCACACACACACACACACACACACACACACGGAAACCAAACCACACAAAACCCAGUGUCUUUUUAUGCAUGUGAUGAGAUGACAUUGUGACCUCCAGCUGCUGUCCUGUCUUGUAAAAUACGUCCAAAUGUUUAAGAGUUGCUAAGCAAAUGGUCCCUUAAUGAGUCUGCAGAGUUCAAUAAAAAAAGGU